CACAAGUUUGGUCCUGGCUUUACUGUCAACUUUGAUUAAAUUUAUACAUGCAAGUUUCCGCCUCCCUGUGAGAAUGCCCUACCUAUUCCCCGCCCCGGAAAAAAGGAGCUGGUAUCAGGCACAACCCUACGUUUGCCCACAACACCUUGCUUAGCCACACCCCCAAAGGGAACCCAGCAGUAAUAAACAUUAAGCAAUAAGCGAAAGCUUGACUUAGUUAAUAUCAAGAGGGCCGGUUAAACUCGUGCCAGCCGCCGCGGUUAUACGAGAGGCUCAAGCUGACAAACAUCGGCGUAAAGAGUGGUUAAUAGAAAGAUUCAACUAAAGCCGAACACCUUCAAGGCUGUUAUACGCUCCCGAAGAAAGGAAGCCCCUAAACGAAAGUGGCUUUAAACAUAUUGACUCCACGAAAGCUAGGAUACAAACUGGGAUUAGAUACCCCACUAUGCCUAGCCCUAAACAUAAAUAUAACAACUACCCCAUUUAUUCGCCAGGGAAUUAUGAGCCCCAGCUUAAAACCCAAAGGACUUGGCGGUGCUUUAGACCCCCCUAGAGGAGCCUGUUCUGGAACCGAUACUCCCCGUUCAACCUCACCCUCUCUUGUUCAUCCCGCCUAUAUACCGCCGUCGUCAGCUUACCCCGUGAGGGCUAAAUAGUAAGCAAAAUUGGUAAAGCCCAAUACGUCAGGUCGAGGUGUAGCUUACGAGAGGGGAAGAAAUGGGCUACAUUUACUGAGACAGUAAAUACGGAUUAUGUACUGAAAACACAUCUGAAGGAGGAUUUAGCAGUAAGAGAAGAAUAGAGCGCCUCUCUGAAGCCGGCCCUGAAGCGCGCACACACCGCCCGUCACUCUCCCCGAACAAAAGAAGUAAAUAAAUAAUGCAAGACCACAAAAAAGGGGAGGCAAGUCGUAACAUGGUAAGUGUACCGGAAGGUGCACUUGGACAAAUCUU
rnacentral:ncRNA from 1 species